ACAAAUUUAGGUCAGUGGAGGUUACAAAACACGGAACGGCAAGCAGACGACUCACAGAUAGGCGGAAAGAACAUUUCAGAGCGGUCUAGGUAGAAGAAAGGUUGUUUGCAGGAGGAACAAUAACUAAAAUUUUUGAUCAACUUUAUUUACGGUUGAUUUACAAAAAAAACGGUUUUGUUUUUCUUUGAUCCGAACAAAAUCAAAAAUUUUAUUUCGAAGCACUUCGGAAUGGCCUUUUUACCUUCCAAGGACGAGAAAUGUUUGUUUUGCUCCAUGUCAGAGUCGACGUCGGAGGACGUAGAUUGGGUCCAAUGCGGAAAGUGUGAAAAUUGGGCUCAUUUUUCUUGCGCGGGUGUUGACCAGGAGGUAGCGAAAUCCAAUUGGUAUUGCCCACAGUGUGUCCCAACGAGUGUUCAGCAGUUGAAGAUUCCAGACGCAGGAGGCAAGAAGCGAGGUAGCAAGAA